UACGAAGGGGGGCUAGCGUUGCUCGGAAUUACUGGGCGUAAAGCGCGCGUAGGCGGCUUGGCAAGUCGGAUGUGAAAUCCCUCGGCUCAACCAAGGAAGUGCAUCCGAAACUGCCGAGCUUGAGUACUUAAGAGGAUCGCGGAAUUCCCGGUGUAGAGGUGAAAUUCGUAGAUAUCGGGAGGAACACCAGUGGCGAAGGCGGCGAUCUGGGAAGAUACUGACGCUGAGGUGCGAAAAGCGUGGGGGAGCGAACAGG
rnacentral:rRNA from 1 species